UACGUAGGUGGCAAGCGUUGUCCGGAAUUACUGGGCGUAAAGGGCGUGUAGGCGGUUUAAUAAGUCAGGCGUGAAAACUUAGGGCUUAACCUUAAGAGUGCGUUUGAAACUGAGAGACUAGAGGAUCGGAGAGGGCAGUGGAAUUCCCAGUGUAGCGGUGAAAUGCGUAGAUAUUGGGAGGAACACCAGUGGCGAAGGCGACUGCCUGGACGACACCUGACGCUGAGGCGCGAAAGCUAGGGGAGCAAACGGG
rnacentral:rRNA from 1 species